AUUGAACGCUGGCGGCAUGCUUUACACAUGCAAGUCGAACGGUAACAGGCCGCAAGGUGCUGACGAGUGGCGAACGGGUGAGUAAUGCAUCGGAACGUGCCCAGUCGUGGGGGAUAACGCAGCGAAAGCUGCGCUAAUACCGCAUACGAUCUAUGGAUGAAAGCGGGGGACCGUAAGGCCUCGCGCGAUUGGAGCGGCCGAUGUCAGAUUAGGUAGUUGGUGGGGUAAAGGCUCACCAAGCCAACGAUCUGUAGCUGGUCUGAGAGGACGACCAGCCACACUGGGACGGAGACACGGCCCAGACUCCUACGGGAGGCAGCAGUGGGGAAUUUUGGACAAUGGGCGCAAGCCUGAUCCAGCAAUGCCGCGUGCAGGAAGAAGGCCUUCGGGUUGUAAACUGCUUUUGUACGGAACGAAACGGUCCUGGUUAAUACCCGGGGCUAAUGACGGUACCGUAAGAAUAAGCACCGGCUAACUACGUGCCAGCAGCCGCAGUAAUAC
rnacentral:rRNA from 1 species